GGUCAGUAGGAAAAUAAAUUUCCAUAUGUACUGAAAAUAGAGUUCAUUUAUCCUCUUAUUUACAUCAUUACAGAAGCUUUGUUAAGUGAAAAAAAGGGAAUAAAUUAUGUAGGCUAUUAACAAUAGAAUAGUGUAAAUUGUAUACAAAUACAAACAAUAAUUUACAAACCUACAAAAGUCUCAGAUGUGUGUGCAUACACUUCCAAAGAAAACACAUAUUUUAUCCGACCGAAGCUUUUUAUGAAUCAAUCCAAUUAUCCAAAGCAUAAAUAGCUUGACUUCCAUUUUGUCUGUCUCCUGGCUCUUUGCAAAACAUCCAAGAAUCUUCGUACCAAAUGUGUUCUUGUAUACAGUUCCUGAAUCUGUUUUAUUUAACUCCAUGAGCCAAUGACAUAUCAACGUUGACAGUUGACACCAUAGAUGGCCAAAUGCAUUUUACCUGCACGAAAAAUAUUUCAGGAUUACAUGAAGUGAUGAAGAGGCUGGUAACAAAACCAAAUUAAUAAAAAAGUAACAACUAAUGUCACACAAAUUACCUCCUACAAAAUACACACCUUUCUGACGACUUAAGUGACCAGAAAACCUCAACAAUACGUGAUAAUCUUAACCUUACAAUGUUGAGGAACCCCAUGGACAGAACCGGAGUUUUCUUCUCCACCACAUCACAACGUCAUUAAGAAAACUUUGACAUCUGUUUCAAAGUAAAAUUAAGCAUGUUCCCCACUUAUGUACUAUUGAACAAAUUAAAAAUGCAAAGUGCCUAUAUGUUAAGCUAGUGAAAUUAAUAUUCCAAAAGGGUUACCUGCACAUGGGAUCAGACGUGUGACCUCAAAGUUGGUAUGGGAUCAGACCUGUGACCUUUAAGUAGGUAAUGCCGAAAGGCAUUAUUCUACAAUUCAGCAAUCUAAAAACAUGUAUAAACAAAAAAGUUACUCACAUCAUACUUAAUUGAUUUAUAAUAUUAAUUAACCAAAUUAUACACAAAUCACAACCAGAGAUUUUGAUUCAAUGGACAUAGGAAAUAUCGUAACAAUGGACUAAGUAGACACCGUUAGAUUCAAUAAUGAUUUUAAAAAUUACCUCUUUCUCAUUCUGUUCACUUCAUAGAGCAUUUUCAUUCUCCGCAUCUGAUCAUUCCAUGCUCUUCCACAGUUACUCAUCUCCAACACCAAACAAAUCCUCUAGAGCUAAAGGUCGAUGAUUUCUUCACUAACAGACAGAUUUGAAGAGGAAGUGCCUCUGCAAAAAUCACAAAGCCAUGGUUAUAUAAAAACAUAUAUAUACUACAUAAGGUAGAAAAAUAACUACAAAUAGUAUAUAGCAGAUUCAUCAUUCAAAUCCACACAUGUUCAUAAAAGGCACCAAAAACAAUAUUUAAGUCACAAAAAAAUCCAUAUCCCUCAAAACAAAGCUUCUCCGUAAGAUAAGAUAUACAUCAAUCAUAGAAGAUAAAAGUGAAUAUGAAAAGAUCUUAUACAUACUUUCUUCCUCUACAAAAUAACUUCUUCUCCUUCUCCUUCUAAUAUGAAAAAUUUGUUAUUUAUUAUGAUAUAAAUAUAUAACCAAGAAUGAAAGAUCUACAAUAGUUUCAGAAGCUGAAAAAGAUUUUCAAAAACGAGAAAGAGAGAAGUAGAGAGACAGAGAGAAGUAGAGGAAGCUCAAUCUCAACAGUAGCUAGCAAGUCUUUAAAUUGUUACCUCUGCAGUCCUGCACAUGUCACCCAAGAUUCAAAUUGAAGACAUCUGUUUCACCAAAAAAAAGGAUUGAGGACAAGUGUCUACCACUUUGCUUCAGUUUUCAUGCAGCCGUUUUUGAAAUCCCUAUCUAGUUUCCACUUUACUUCGAGUCAUAACAAGAUUAGGUUAAAGUUUCUGUCGUCUUGUAGUGUUGAGACCAAAGUGAGGUUU
rnacentral:lncRNA from 1 species